CAUGUGGUUUAUUCGAAGCAACGCGAAGAACCUUACCAGGUCUUGACAUCCUCUGACAACCCUAGAGAUAGGGCUUUCCCCUUCGGGGGACAGAGUGACAGGUGGUGCAUGGUUGUCGUCAGCUCGUGUCGUGAGAUGUUGGGUUAAGUCCCGCAACGAGCGCAACCCUUGAUCUUAGUUGCCAGCAUUCAGUUGGGCACUCUAAGGUGACUGCCGGUGACAAACCGGAGGAAGGUGGGGAUGACGUCAAAUCAUCAUGCCCCUUAUGACCUGGGCUACACACGUGCUACAAUGGAUGGUACAAAGGGCUGCAAACCUGCGAAGGUAAGCGAAUCCCAUAAAGCCAUUCUCAGUUCGGAUUGCAGGCUGCAACUCGCCUGCAUGAAGCCGGAAUCGCUAGUAAUCGCGGAUCAGCAUGCCGCGGUGAAUACGUUCCCGGGCCUUGUACACACCGCCCGUCACACCACGAGAGUUUGUAACACCCGAAGUCGGUGAGGUAACCUUCAUGGAGCCAGCCGCCUAAGGUGGGACAGAUGAUUGGGGUGAAGUCGUAACAAGGUAGCCGUAUCGGAAGGUGCGGUG
rnacentral:rRNA from 1 species